GAGGCAGCAGUAGAGAAUCUUGUGCAAUAUACAAACAAGUAUGACACAGAGGUCAUCUAGAUUUUUAGGCCUGUCAAAUUAAGUGCCAGCAGACGCGGUGAGACUUAGGGGCCUAGGCUUUAUUAGAAAAGAGGCGUAAAGGGUGUGUAGGCCUUUUCAUUAUUAAGACCUAAAAUCUUAAACUUAACUUAAAAUAGAAGUUAAUUGGAAUUUUACUGUAGCGGUAGAAUGUGAAGAAAGAGACAAGAACACCUAAAGCGAAAGCAAUUAACUAGCAGAGGGAGUCAAAUAGGCUGAAACACGAGGGUCUGGGCAACAAACAGGAUUAGAGACCCUGGUAGUCCACACUGUAAACGAUGGGGAACAAUUGCUAUUUUAUGCAGCCCCAAUAGGCAGCAAAUCCCCCGCCUGAGUAGUACGAUCGCAAGAUUAAAAUUCAAAAAAUUUGGCUGUUCUCCGAUAUGAUUAGAGGAGCGUGUAGUUUAAUUCGAUAAUCCGCGAGAUACCUUACCCUAACUUGAAUCACCACAGCCCUCCAAAUUAAUUACAGGCAUUGUACCUAUUUUUAAUAUGGCUACAACCUCUUUUUGGAUGGGUAGUGUGACCAACCGGUGUUGCAUGGCCGUCGUCAGUCCGUGUAUUAAUCACAAAACGGACAUAAGCCAUAAUUGUUUUAUAUUUAACAAUUAUGGAUGAAGUCAGGUCUUAUGGCCCUUAUGUUAGGGGAUUAGAAUGCGCUACAAUCACCUGCUCAAUGGUCUACUAUAUACUUUUAGUGAAUACCUACAAAGCGCGGUGGGCGGAUGGCGAUUGGGAUAGUCGCCUGAAGUUGAAUUUAAUAGUAAUCGGGAAGUAGAGCGUCCCGGUGAAACCACUUAACACGGAGUUAGCACAAAUCGCCCGUCACCUUAUCUAAGUUCCUAGGCACGGACACUGCCCAAUGGUUAAAGAAAUGGG
rnacentral:rRNA from 1 species